CACUGUUAAAGUAUUUUGGAGGAGGCAGUGACUCAGCCCAGGGGCAAUCCACCUCCUCAUGAGCAGCCCAGGCUGAUGAAUCAGGUAAUCGAAAAACUGUCACCAUAUAUAUUUAAUUUCUAGUCAAAUUAUCUCAUUAAGAUGUAAUAAUAUAAGAUAUAAUCAUAUGACAAGGGACAUUUUUUCAUCUCAGGUCCAUCUCUAUCCUCUGCUACAUCCACUGUGCCCACUGUCCUCUCUGCAACCUCAGCUGUACCUGGUCCAUCUCUAUCCUCUGCUACAUCCACUGUGCCCACUGUCCUCUCUGCAACCUCAGCUGUACCUGGUCCUUCAUCUUUGGUCAUCGAGAUUGAUGUGUC